rnacentral:lncRNA from 1 species
AUGAUGAAAAGUUUAGAGUAAUAUGAGAAGACAAUUGAAGGUAUUUAUAUGCAUGGGAAAGGGAAUUAUUGAUCAAGGAUGGGUAAUUACAACUUGAAAGACAAAAAUAUAUUUAAGAGGCUCAUAAUGAAGAUUGUAAAAAAGUUGAUAUAACUAAAUUUUUAAAUAUAUAUAGAUUUCUUUUAUACAUUUAAAUUUAAUACUUAAAUGUUCAUGGCAUCAGGUUGUAAACGAGAACUCACGUUCCAUACAGCUGCGGAUUAUUUAAUAAUGUUUUGUCCCUCACCCCCAAGGUGACUUUUCACUAGAAAAUUGACUAAUAGAUUAACCAUUUUUAUACGGUUGGGUAUAAUCUGGUAUCAUACAGGUCUUAAAAACAUGAAACCCAAUCUCAUAUCUGUAUCAAACUAGUGCUAUCACCCUAGCGCGUUGCGCUUAGGAUUAGCGGAGGUCCAAUUCGGUUCACUGUGAGGCGUGGCCGUUUACACUUGUUAAAUUCAAUUUAAAAAACAAUCGUACAUAGCUUGAUUAGUAUGCACAAUCCCAGAGGAAAUACAUUAUAUUUUUGUAAUAAACAAAUUAAAAAUAAUAUGAAAGUUAUGUGUUUAGUUAAAUACAUAUAAAUUCAACUACAUUAAUAAAAUGAUACAUACAAAAACAUGACAUCCUAUCCCACUUUCUGGGUGCUUCCUUUCUACACUCGAUUGUCGUUUAAAUAUCUUCCAAUGAAAACGUCCACUUGAUUCAAGAAACUUGAGAUCAAAAGUUGGUUAAUUUACCCCAGAUUACUAACUAAAUGUGCUUAUUUUAGCAGUUACUGUGUCAAUCAAC